rnacentral:tmRNA from 1 species
GGGGUCGACUGGUUUUGACAGCGAGUUUUAUUGAUUGGUAAGCACGUCGAGUAAUGAAAUUGAAUCUCGUAAAAUGCUAUUUCAAAAUUUAAACGGCGAGAAUAACUACGCUUUAGCUGC